rnacentral:misc_RNA from 13 species
AACCUUGCGCAGUGGCAAUAUCGUAAUCAAUGAAGUUCUACUGAGAUGCGAUUAUUGCUAGUUGAAACUAUUGUCCAAUAAAA